CGGACGGGUGAGUAAUGUCUGGGAAACUGCCAUGGAGGGGGAUAACUACUGGAAACGGUAGCUAAUACCGCAUAACGUCGCAAGACCAAAGAGGGGGACCUUCGGGCCUCUUGCCAUCGGAUGUGCCCAGAUGGGAUUAGCUAGUAGGUGGGGUAACGGCUCACCUAGGCGACGAUCCCUAGCUGGUCUGAGAGGAUGACCAGCCACACUGGAACUGAGACACGGUCCAG
rnacentral:rRNA from 1 species